rnacentral:rRNA from 1 species
CCUACGGGUGGCAGCAGUGGGGAAUAUUGGGCAAUGGGCGCAAGCCUGACCCAGCAACGCCGCGUGAAGGAAGAAGGCUUUCGGGUUGUAAACUUCUUUUCUCAGGGACGAAGCAAGUGACGGUACCUGAUGAAUAAGCCACGGUUAAUUACGUGCCAGCAGCCGCGGUAAUACGUAGGUGGCAAGCGUUAUCCGGAUUUACUGGGUGUAAAGGGCGUGUAGGCGGGGACGCAAGUCAGAUGUGAAAGCCACGGGCUCAACCUGUGGCCUGCAUUUGAAACUGUGUUGCUUGAGUACUGGAGAGGCAGACGGAAUUCCUAGUGUAGCGGUGAAAUGCGUAGAUAUUAGGAGGAACACCAGUGGCGAAGGCGGUCUACUGGACAGCAACUGACGCUGAGGCGCGAAAGCGUGGGGAGCAAACAGGAUUAGAUACCCUUGUAGUC